rnacentral:rRNA from 1 species
CAGUCGCCACGGGAACACGUAGGGUGCAAGCGUUAAUCGGAAUUACUGGGCGUAAAGCGUGCGCAGGCGGUUUGUUAAGACAGAUGUGAAAUCCCCGGGCUCAACCUGGGAACUGCAUUUGUGACUGGCAAGCUAGAGUAUGGCAGAGGGGGGUGGAAUUCCGCGUGUAGCAGUGAAAUGCGUAGAUAUGCGGAGGAACACCGAUGGCGAAGGCAGCCCACUGGGCCAAUAUUGACGCUCAUGCACGAAAGCGUGGGGAGCAAACAGGAUUAGAGACCCCAGUAGUCCCUGUCUCUUAUAC